AACGUAGGAGACAAACGUUAUCCGGAGUUACUGGGCGUAAAGGGCGUGUAGGUGGUUUUAUAAGUCUGGCGUGAAAUCCCUCGGCUUAACCGGGGAACUGCGUCUGAUACUGGAUGGCUCGAGUGUGGGAGAGGGAUGCGGAAUUCCAGGUGUAGCGGUGAAAUGCGUAGAUAUCUGGAGGAACACCGGUGGCGAAGGCGGCAUUCUGGACCGACAUUGACGCUGAGGAGCGAAAGCCAGGGGAGCAAACGGGG
rnacentral:rRNA from 1 species